rnacentral:rRNA from 1 species
AAGCAAAGAUUAACUCUUGUACCUUUUGCAUCAUGAUUUAGCCAGAACCUAUCAAGCAAAAAGCAUUUUAGUUUGAGACCCCGAAACCAGGCGAGCUACUCCAAGACAGCCUAUCAAUUAGGGCAACCCCGUCUCUGUGGCAAAAGAGUGGAAAGAUCUUUGAGUAGAGGUGAUAAAUCUACCGAGCCCGGUUAUAGCUGGUUGCCUGAGAAUUGAAUAGUAGUUCAGCUUCUUGAAUUCUUCUCUCCCACCAGCCCCCAUGCUCCCCUCAGACCAAAAGAAAUCAAGAAAGUUAGUCAUAGGGGGUACAGCCCCUAUGAAACAGACACAACUUUUUUAGGUGGGGAAAGAUCAUAAUAAACUAAGGCAUCGUGUUCAAGUGGGCCUAAAAGCAGCCACCUUAAAAGAAAGCGUUAUAGCUCCAACACUAACCACCCCCUAAUACUGAUAAAAAAUCUUAACCCCCUACCCCCUACCAGGCCCUCCUAUUCCCAUUAGGAAAGACCAUGCUAGAAUGAGUAACUAGAGACACACCCCUCUCUCUCCGCAUACUUGUGAAUCGAAACGGACUAACCACCGAAUAUUAACGGCCCCAACACCCAGAGGGCACUGAGUAACCACCAAAAAACAAGCAAACCACCCCAAACAUUAACCGUUAACCCCACACUGGCAUGCCCAAAGAGAAAGACCAAAAGAAAAAGAAGGAACUCGGCAAACACAAGCCUCGCCUGUUUACCAAAAACAUCGCCUCUUGCCCCACUAGAAUAAGAGGUCCCGCCUGCCCUGUGACCAUGUGUUUAACGGCCGCGGUAUUUUAACCGUGCAAAGGUAGCGCAAUCACUUGUCUUUUAAAUGAAGACCUGUAUGAAUGGCAUGACGAGGGCUUAACUGUCUCCUUUUUCCAGUCAAUGAAAUUGAUUUUCCCGUGCAGAAGCGGGAAUAACAACAUAAGACGAGAAGACCCUGUGGAGCUUAAGACAAAAGAGCAGCCCAAACUCCAACACCCCCAGCGAAAGGACUAAAACACUGGCGCCUGCCCUAAUGUCUUCGGUUGGGGCGACCACGGAGAAACAAAAAACCCCCGUAUGGACUGGGACCACAUCCCCUACAACCAAGAGUGACAACUCAAAGUAUCAGAACCACUGACCAAAAAUGACCCGGCAACGCCGAUCAAUGAACCAAGUUACCCCAGGGAUAACAGCGCAAUCCUCUUCUAGAGCCCAUAUCGACAAGAGGGUUUACGACCUCGAUGUUGGAUCAGGACAUCCUAAUGGUGCAGCCGCUAUUAAGGGUUC